CAGCCGCCGCGGUAAUACGUAGGUCCCGAGCGUCGUCCGGAUUUAUUGGGCGUAAAGCGAGCGCAGGCGGUUAGAUAAGUCUGAAGUUAAAGGCUGUGGCUUAACCAUAGUAUGCUUUGGAAACUGUUUAACUUGAGUGCAGAAGGGGAGAGUGGAAUUCCAUGUGUAGCGGUGAAAUGCGUAGAUAUAUGGAGGAACACCGGUGGCGAAAGCGGCUCUCUGGUCUGUAGCUGACGCUGAGGCUCGAAAGCGUGGGGAGCAAACAGGAUUAGAUACCCGCGUAGUCCCUGUCUCUUAUACC
rnacentral:rRNA from 1 species